rnacentral:rRNA from 1 species
GAAAGUAAACAAGGGCGCAUGGAGGAUGCCUAGGCUCUCGGAGGCGAAGAAGGACGUGAUAAGCUGCGAAAAGUUACGGUAAGGCGCAAAUAGCCCUAGACCCGUAAAUAUCCGAAUGGGGCAACCCGGCCAGCAAUGGCCAUACCGCCAAGCGGUAAGCCAACGCGGGGAACUGAAACAUCUAAGUACCCGCAGGAAAAGAAAAUAACAAUGAUUCCGCCAGUAGUGGCGAGCGAACGCGGAACAGCCCAAACCACCCGUGUUACGGCACGGGUGGGGUAGAAGGAUCCACGAUACGGCAAGAAAUAAGUUAGCGGAAUACGAUGGAAAUCGUAGCCAAAGACGGUGACAGCCCGGUACGCGAAAACCGACAGAAGCCCAGUGGACACCUGAGUAACCCAGGACACGAGAAAUCCGGGGCGAAUCAGCGGGGCCCAUCCCGUAAGGCUAAAUACUCCCGAGAGACCGAUAGCGAACCAGUACUGUGAAGGAAAGGUGAAAAGCACCUCGAACAGAGGAGUGAAAUAGUCCCUGAAACCGUCUGCCUACAAGCGGUCGGAGCAACGUAAGUUGUGACGGCGUGCCUUUUGCAUAAUGAACCUACGAGUUACUUUCUCCGGCAAGGUUAAGGGCUUCAGGUCCGGAGCCGAAGCGAAAGCGAGUCUUAAUAGGGCGUGAUAGUCGGAGUGAGUAGACGCGAAACCAAGUGAUCUACCCUUGGUCAGGAUGAAGGUUGGGUAACACCAACUGGAGGUCCGAAUGGGUAUACGUUGAAAAGUGUUCCAAUGAACUGAGGGUAGGGGUGAAAGGCUAAUCAAACUUGGAGAUAGCUCGUACUCCCCGAAAUGCAUUUAGGUGCAGCCUUUAUUUAGUAUAGCAUGAGGUAGAGCGACUGAUUGGAUGCGAGGGCUUCACCGCCUAUCAAGUCCAGAUAAACUCCGAAUGCGUGCUAUAUAUUGAUAAGGAGUGAGGGCGCGGGUGCUAAGGUCCGCGUCCGAGAGGAGAAGAAUCCAGACCAUCAGCUAAGGUCCCCAAAUAACAGUUAAGUUGAACUAACGAAGUCGGACUGCAGAGACAGCUAGGAUGUUGGCUUGGAAGCAGCCAUUCAUUUAAAGAGUGCGUAACAGCUCACUAGUCGAGGAGUCCGGCGUGGAUAAUACUCGGGCAUAAACUGUUUACCGAAGCUAUGGAUGUGUAAACACAUGGUAGGGGAGCAUUCCAACGGCGUCGAAGGUGAAGGAUGACCUUUGCUGGAGCUUUUGGAAACGCAAAUGUAGGUAUAAGUAACGAUAAAGGAGGUGAGAAACCUCCUCGCCGAAAGACUAAGGUUUCCUGAUCAACGUUAAUCGGAUCAGGGUAAGUCGGGACCUAAGGUUAAGCCGAACGGCGAUACCGAUGGAAGAAUGGUUUAAUAUUCCCAUACUACUUUAUGGAGCGAUGUGGAGACGGAGAAGUGACAGUCCUGCCAUCUGACGGAAUAGGUGGUUGAAGAGUGUAGAUGUAGAUUCCUGUAGGCAAAUCCGCAGGGAGAGUCGACCUUGACAGUAUGCCGCGUGCUUGCACAAGGCAAAAUGGACGUAAUCAGGCUCCCAAGAAAAUCCGCUAAGCAUAUUCAUAAAGUACCCGUACCGUAAACGGACACACGUAGUUGGGUUGAAAAUACUGAGGCGCUCGAGUGAUUCACGGUUAAGGAACUAGGCAAAUUGACCCUGUAACUUCGGGAUAAAGGGUCCCUACUGAGAGGUAGGGCGCAGAGAAUAGGUCCAGGCAACUGUUUAACAAAAACACAUGGCUGUGCGAAAUAGAAAUAUGAAGUAUACAGCCUGACACCUGCCCGGUGCUGGAAGGUUAAGAGGAGAGCUCAUCGCAAGAGAAGGCUUGAAUUGAAGCCCCAGUAAACGGCGGCCGUAACUAUAACGGUCCUAAGGUAGCGAAAUUCCUUGUCGGGUAAGUUC